rnacentral:rRNA from 5 species
UGCGACCCCAGGUCAGGCGGGGCUACCCGCUGAGUUUAAGCAUAUCAAUA